UGCCGGGGGGCGGGGACGCGGGCGGCUCCGGGCGGGCGUGGUCCCUCCUGCGGGCGCCUGGGCUGGCCGGGCGGACCGCGGAGAGGGGGAGCCGCGGGGACGCAGCGACAGACUUGGGGUGCUGGCAGCGGCAGCCCAUGCCUCCCAGGGGUUGCAGGCCUGGGCGCCGGGGUUGGACCAGUUUCCCGGGCAUGGCACGCCCUGGUUGGUCUGUACCCAUGGUUUGUGGUGGGGCAAGACGUUAAGUUGGGUGACACCGAGGUGAGCCACGGCCCUCGGCACCAGAUGAGGAACCACUGUCUCAAUAAGUGACACCAGUGAUGCUGUUAAACAAGGACAAUCCGGUUCAUGGAUUGUGACAACGCACACUGACAUCAAGCGGACCCUGCCAUCAGGUACAGAGGGCACCACAGUGACGACCAGGAACUGCUGUCCUUUCAUACCAGGUUUUAGGAGGCUUUACCAGAAGGAAUGAAAAAUGCUGGUGGGCAGUAAGAUCGAAACAGCAUUUGAGGACUUGUUCUGCACAAAACCUUAAAUUCUUCAAGGACUUUGACAUUUGUUUAUUCUUGUAACAAGUUAAAACCUAUCCUGUGUGUUGGUUAGAGAUCUUCAAACUGUAAAUACCUUGAGGCAGGAGUGAGGUUUUUAUCUUUUAAAGGACAGGCCCCUACUCUCCUACGUAACGAGUUUCUAAAAGUGGAUGUGAGCACCAAUCAAUAUUUCUCUGGUUGUUAAAGUCAAGAAUAAAAUGGUAUUUUUAAGCUCA